AUCCCAUAUCCAACCCAAGUUAUAAUGCCCGACCCGACCUGAUCUAUAAUUGCACAGAAGCGUUCAAUUUUGCUCCAAUUCAAUUUCAUUCUCCAGCUAAAUAACAUGAUUGAUUAAGGUAUUGAAAAAACUAAAACGUCAAUUGGCUGAAGCGGAGGCAGAAUUAGAAUCUCGCAAGAAGCCUCCAGUUGAAGCUGGAUCAAAAGUUGUAGGAGAAGGUCUAGUAAUAGAUGAAUGGAAGGAGCGAAGGGAGAAGCAGUGGCGGAUGUACACUAUAGUCAGGAGGUUAUCUGAAUCUCCUUCGACGCAAAAUUAUGUUAUAUAUAUAUAUGGUUAAAAUUAUCUUUUAUGUAUAUAUAUAUAUAUAUAUAUUAGAUGUUGAACCCCUUCGAUUAGUUUUUAUAUUCACUUAUGAACCUCUCAGCGAAAAUCUUGGCUCCGCCACUGGAGAGAGGUAGGUUGAGGCUGUUGAUUCAGCGUAAUGCAACUAGUAAAUUUUAAUGCAAGUGUCUCUUUUGCCAUAAUUUGUAAUGUUAAGUCAGAUCCACUUCUUUGCUGCUUUGUUUCUUUUGAAGGAUGGCGAAAAAGGGGGCAAAAACAUUGUACACUCCUGUGCAAUUAUAGAUCGGAUCGGGUCGGGUAUUAUAAUUUGGGUUGGGUAUGAAUUUAAGUAUAACACUACUAGAAAUUACCCCUAUUGCAACGAACCUUUUGGCAACGGUUCCAAAGGUGUGGCUAUAGAAGGUCUAUUGUAACAGUUGUAACCGUUGCAAAAAAAAUUAUUGUAGUAUAGCUAGUUGGUACUACAACCGUUGCUACGAUGGAUAAGCGUUGCAAUAGGGUGUCUUAUAGCGACGGUUGGAUGAACCAUUGCCAUAGACACACCUAUGGCAAUGCUUUAUUGAAAAAAAAGGCUAUUACAUCGGUUUUAUUUUCCCUCCACUUGUUAUGCUAUUUGUUUCAUCAGAAGCAUAGAGAGAGAAAUCAAAUCCAAACAUUCUUCUUUGCAAAACACUCCUUUUCCCUUUCCCCUCUUUCCUCCUUCACCACCUCUCUCCCGUCUCCGCCGAGCACUGCCAGUUCAAGGGUUUCGACGUCGAUGAUAUCGACAAAUUUGUUGACCUCGAUGAACCCAUCUCCGCCGCACAACACCUCUGUCUUCCUCCCUUAGUGGCCACUCAAGUUACAUCUCGCCGUCCAACCCGAAGCCUGCGUCGAUGUCCUUUGAGGAAUGGGAUGAAGAUGAGUUAGCAGCGAAAUGUGCCAAGGCCUUUCUAUGUUGGAAGGAGUGAGAAUGUUGUAUGGGUUAGAGGAAUUGCCAAGACCGUCGCAAAUGGAACAAUUGUGUGGGAAAUGAAGGCUAUACCGAUCGAUUGGGGCACGGUAUAUGUGGCGGUUAAUUGAGGGAAAUGGAACCCCAAUUACUGCAGCAAUAGUGAUGGAGGGUGGUCAUGUGCAGCCCUUGUAGCAAAUUGAACCUCAGUAGGGAGGUACAACAACAUCAAUUGCAACUUCUGAAGCCUAUUAACGGCGUUGGCAACCUUGGAAAUCACUAGCGGAUUUAGAAGUGUUGCAUUCGACUGGUUCAGGCGCAAAUCUUUUCAUACCAACUGUUGUGUGUCGAAAUUCGCAAAACAAGGUAAAAAUCUCUGUUGUCUGGAAAAGAUACUUUGGUUAUUGAGGUCACUAAUUUUACCAGGUCAUAAAGAGACAGCUUUUUGUGGAAUGCUUUUAACGCACCACACAAUCCUCGAUUACUUGGCAUAGGGUUAUGAACUUAAUUUCAUGGUGGCCAUAGACUUUACUGGUAUGUAUUGGUUUGUGUAUAUGUUUUGUACUCUUUCUCCUUCAUGAUAUCAGGUUUGAGAAAAGUUGAUUGUAUUUCUGUAGCUAUGUAUGGGCGUAUUGUGUUACCUUCACCAAUCUUAUGAUCGUUAUCUCUGAUUCCUUCUUUAUUUUUUUCAUUCGAUGUGUUAGAUGGAGCCACCUUAGGGGCUUGAAGUUCCUAUUCUUGGAAUGCCCAUAAUUCUGUGUACUCUGAUUGUCUUAACUAUCUGUAUUAUCUUGAAUCUAGCUAAUAUAUGACACUUUACUCCACAUCCACAGGAUUUUUUUCGUAUCAUUACAGUAAGAAUUUCUUGAAUUAACUGAAAGAUGUAAUCACAUGACAAAGUUUGAUUGUUCCUUUCAAAAUGAUACGCAUCUAUUAUGUCGAUUCUUCUAAUAUCGCUUGCAUUGAUUUGCUUUCCUUAGCUUUCUUCUGCAGUGGAUAUUGAACAUUUCUUAUUUUUUAUCUCAGCAUAUAUUUGUUUCCUCACAUGAGUUGUGAUUGUCAGCUUUUAAUGGAAAUCCAUGAUUACCUGAUUCAUUGCAUUAUAUUGAUUUAUUUUUUUAGUCGUAGUUGUCUCUGUUUAUUUUUUUAAUCCUUUUUUCUUGUCUGUCUCAGUAAGUAACUAAAUAAGGAUUAAACAAACGUAGAAAUUAUGGAAAUCUUAGAGAAGUCCAGUGCCAGUGAAGUGGCCUAUGCAGUAGACCAAUGUUGGAUCAUUCAUGAACUUUGUCUUUUAACUGUGAUCCCUUGAGAUAAAAAGUUUAGUUCCUCAUAGAUAUUGUGUUUGCGGCAUCUGGGCAGCAUAAUCAUGUUGAAAUUUGAGGUUCUUGUUUAUGGUUGCCUUGCGCUAAUUGCCUGUUCUAUCUGAGGAAAUAUACUUUUAUAUAAACUAAUAGUCCCUUUAGUUAUAAUUCUCAAUAUCUGCUACAUUGUUGCCCAUAAAAGCUCGCAUGGAUGACUUGUGACAUUUUUUGUUCUAUGUUCUCGUUUUGAUCAAUUUCUUUGUUCUAGUAGGUUCUUUCUUCAUCAGGAUGGAAGAAGGGUAUUCUAUUUUUGGAUGAUGUCAACGCUCAAUUGAGGAACAAGAAUAUUACAACUGACAUUAAAUUAGACUCAAGCUCCAAUCUUUUCACAACCACCAUACUUGAUGAAGCUUCUCCAGGGUUGAAAACAAUUUUAAGCUUCAGAGUUCUUGACCAAUGGUCUGGAAAGUGACUUGAACAAUCAUGAAUCUACAAGGGUGUUCAAGAAAAUAUUAGAAAGUUAAAGAACUUUGUUUCAGCUGGAUCACAUGCAGCUUUACGGAAAAAACAAAUGCUAGAACACAAGAAGAAGAAUAUAGGCUACAUAGAAUUUCUUGAAACUUAUCGUGACUAGAACUUGAUACUAUGUAAAAACUUAACUAAUCAUUUGAGUACUUAGCAUACAUUUUGCUUUUGGAUUUAGAUUACUAGUUUAAUUUGUUUCAUAUUUUGGAUUAUGUGAUUAUUAAUGAAUGAUUUUGUUUUAUGAUGUG